UUGAAAGGGAAACGAUUGAAGUCAGUCGUGCUGGCGCGAAAUCAACCUUCUCGUCUUGAGAUCACAUGGCGUGGCGAGCCUCAAAACCGUCACGAAGCGUGAACUCUUGGUGAAAUGGAGCACUUUCGUGUCCGCUGGUUAACAUCAAUUUCGAUCGUCAUAAAAAGGCUGGAGGGAUGUGGCUCCUUCGGGAGUGUUAUAACCUUUAGCGGAAUGUGGUGGUCGGGAUUGAGGUUUGCAACGAAUACCUUCGGGGCUGUUCCACCUGGCCUCUCAUCGGCGUCCUGGCAGCGACAGCUUGCUGACGUUGUUGGGAUCAGCCUUCGAACAGGCUAGAGUGUGAGCAAAUUCGUUAAGGAUGUUGACGUA
rnacentral:rRNA from 1 species